rnacentral:rRNA from 1 species
AUGGUUAAGCUAGAAAGGGCGCACGGUGAAUGCCUUGGCACUAGGAGCCGAUGAAGGACGGGACGAACACCGAAAUGCUUCGGGGAGCUGUAAGUAAGCUUUGAUCCGGAGAUAUCCGAAUGGGGGAACCCACCAUCCGUAAUGGGAUGGUAUCCAUACCUGAAUCCAUAGGGUAUGAGAAGGCAGACCUGGGGAACUGAAACAUCUUAGUACCCAGAGGAAGAGAAAGAAAAUUCGAUUUCCUGAGUAGCGGCGAGCGAAACGGAAAGAGCCCAAACCAAGAGGCUUGCCUCUUGGGGUUGUAGGACACUCCAUACGGAGUUACAAAGAAACGGCGUAGAUGAAGCGAUCUGGAAAGAUCCGCGAGACAAGGUAACAGCCCUGUAGUCGAAAUGUCGUUUCCUCCGGAGUGUAUCCUGAGUACGGCGGGACACGUGAAACCCCGUCGGAAUCUGGGAGGACCAUCUCCCAAGGCUAAAUACUCCCUAGUGACCGAUAGUGAACCAGUACCGUGAGGGAAAGGUGAAAAGCACCCCGGGAGGGGAGUGAAAUAGAUCCUGAAACCGUGUGCCUACAAGUAGUUGGAGCCCGUUAAUGGGUGACAGCGUGCCUUUUGUAGAAUGAACUGGCGAGUUACGAUAACGUGCAAGGUUAAGUUGAAGAGACGGAGCCGCAGCGAAAGCGAGUCUGAAUAGGGCGCCAUAGUACGUUGUUGUAGACCCGAAACCGUGUGAUCUACCCAUGUCCAGGGUGAAGUCCAGGUAACACUGGAUGGAGGCCCGAACCCACGCACGUUGAAAAGUGCGGGGAUGAGGUGUGGGUAGGGGUGAAAUGCCAAUCGAACACGGAGAUAGCUGGUUCUCCCCGAAAUAGCUUUAGGGCUAGCCUCGAGGGAAGAGUCUUGGAGGUAGAGCACUGAUUGGACUAGGGGUCCCCACAGGAUUACCGAAUUCAGUCAAACUCCGAAUGCCAAUGACUUAUCCUCGGGAGUCAGACUGCGAGUGCUAAGAUCCGUAGUCAAGAGGGAAACAGCCCAGACCAUCAGCUAAGGUCCCAAAGUAUACGUUAAGUGGAGAAGGAUGUGGAGUUGCUUAGACAACCAGGAUGUUGGCUUAGAAGCAGCCACCAUUGAAAGAGUGCGUAAUAGCUCACUGGUCGAGUGACUCUGCGCCGAAAAUGUACCGGGGCUAAACGUAUCACCGAAGCUAUGGCUUGUCCUUAUGGACAGGGGUAGGGGAGCGUUCCAAGGGCUGCGAAGCAUGACCGGAAGGACAUGUGGAGCGCUUGGAAGUGAGAAU